rnacentral:tRNA from 1 species
GUCAGAAUGGUUCAAUUGUUUGAAUGUUAGACUACAACUCUGGGAAACUAGAGUUCAAAUCCCUGCUCAGCCA